ACUCCUACGGGAGGCAGCAGUGGGGAAUCUUAGACAAUGGGGGAAACCCUGAUCUAGCCAUGCCGCGUGAGUGAUGAAGGCCCUAGGGUCGUAAAGCUCUUUCAGCUGUGAAGAUAAUGACGGUAGCAGCAGAAGAAACCCCGGCUAACUCCGUGCCAGCAGCCGCGGUAAUACGGAGGGGGUUAGCGUUGUUCGGAAUUACUGGGCGUAAAGCGCGCGUAGGCGGAUUAGUCAGUCAGAGGUGAAAUCCCGGGGCUCAACCCCGGAACGCCUUUGAUACUUGCCUAGUCUUGAGUUCGAGAGAGGUGAGUGGAAUUCCGAGUGUAGAGUGAAAUUCGUAGAUAUUUCGGAGGAACACCAGUGGCGAAGGCGGC
rnacentral:rRNA from 1 species